CUCUUCUGUUUUCAUCCAAUUUAAAGGGCCGGAGACCGGAGACCGGAGACCUGCAACUGCAAGUCUUCGUCUUUCUCAUCUCGCCGGUCGCCGGAGAGGAGGUAGCUAACCAGCCGGAGAUCCGACAUGAGCGAUAGUAAUCCUCCAGGCUACUUCAUCGGCCGUCCGGCGAACCACGAAGAACAGCAGGCUUCACGGCCCGUUGAGGAACAGAACGCUCAGAUCCCUGGCUACUACAGUGGUCAUCCCCUAAGACCUAAUGGUACCAAUGAACAAGCGAAGAAACCGAGCUUCUUCGAGAGACUCUUUGGGUGCUUCUCUAGCAGGCGAAAUGCGAACUAGAUCGGCGCGGCUGUGAUCGCAAUUUCAACGUAUGGUUCAUCGAGAAAUCGAAGGGAAUUUGGAUGGUGUGAAGUCCCUCAUUUGUGUCAGGAACUACGAUCCUGUUUAUUCCAAAGAUUUUUCAUGUUCGGUGUUUACAUUGUUGUAUAUUGUGUAUUCAGAGAAAUGAGAUUAUUCCGUGUGAUACAUUAGUGUUUUGCUUACGGAAUUGGAUCGAUGAAUUUCUAAUGUGGUUAUUGGUCUCCCUAAAAGGGGUAUUUUACUGUAAACUUUUUUUUUACAAGAAAAGGGCCAUAUGAAUAUGACAACUCUGAACUUUCAUAA